UAGAGUUUGAUCCUGGCUCAGGAUGAACGCUAGCUACAGGCUUAACACAUGCAAGUCGAGGGGCAGCGGGAUUGAAGCUUGCUUCAAUUGCCGGCGACCGGCGCACGGGUGAGUAACGCGUAUCCAACCUUCCGUACACUCAGGGAUAGCCUUUCGAAAGAAAGAUUAAUACCUGAUGGUAUGAUGAGAUUGCAUGAUAGCAUCAUUAAAGAUUUAUCGGUGUACGAUGGGGAUGCGUUCCAUUAGGUAGUAGGCGGGGUAACGGCCCACCUAGCCAACGAUGGAUAGGGGUUCUGAGAGGAAGGUCCCCCACAUUGGAACUGAGACACGGUCCAAACUCCUACGGGAGGCAGCAGUGAGGAAUAUUGGUCAAUGGACGAGAGUCUGAACCAGCCAAGUAGCGUGAAGGAUGAAGGUCCUACGGAUUGUAAACUUCUUUUAUAAGGGAAUAAACCCUCCCACGUGUGGGAGCUUGUAUGUACCUUAUGAAUAAGCAUCGGCUAACUCCGUGCCAGCAGCCGCGGUAAUACGGAGGAUGCGAGCGUUAUCCGGAUUUAUUGGGUUUAAAGGGAGCGCAGACGGGUCGUUAAGUCAGCUGUGAAAGUUUGGGGCUCAACCUUAAAAUUGCAGUUGAUACUGGCGUCCUUGAGUGCGGUUGAGGUGUGCGGAAUUCGUGGUGUAGCGGUGAAAUGCUUAGAUAUCACGAAGAACUCCGAUUGCGAAGGCAGCACACUAAUCCGUAACUGACGUUCAUGCUCGAAAGUGUGGGUAUCAAACAGGAUUAGAUACCCUGGUAGUCCACACGGUAAACGAUGGAUACUCGCUGUUGGCGAUAUACUGUCAGCGGCUUAGCGAAAGCGUUAAGUAUCCCACCUGGGGAGUACGCCGGCAACGGUGAAACUCAA
rnacentral:rRNA from 1 species